rnacentral:rRNA from 1 species
AUUGAACGCUGGCGGCAGGCCUAACACAUGCAAGUCGAGCGGUAGAGAGGUGCUUGCAUCUCUUGAGAGCGGCGGACGGGUGAGUAAUGCCUAGGAAUCUGCCUAGUGGUGGGGGAUAACGUUCGGAAACGGACGCUAAUACCGCAUACGUCCUACGGGAGAAAGCGGGGGAUCUUCGGACCUCGCGCCAUUAGAUGAGCCUAGGUCGGAUUAGCUAGUUGGUGAGGUAAUGGCUCACCAAGGCGACGAUCCGUAACUGGUCUGAGAGGAUGAUCAGUCACACUGGAACUGAGACACGGUCCAGACUCCUACGGGAGGCAGCAGU